CUCUUUCGCCCGCCUUCUUGGGUCCGCCGCUUUGAAGCAGAACUGCAGGAAGACCUCCGUAUGAGAUGAAAAUGUUUUGCGGGCUGAUAGAGGAGCUGGGAUCCAGCUGAAAUCCACUCGGUGACAGAGAUUAGAGGACCUGCGAUGUGGCGUUCGGAGGGAAGGCUGAGUCGAAAAAUGACUCCCAUCUCUGCCAGCCACCCCGCUGUGAGUAUAUCCUGAACCAGGAAGGCAGUAGGCACACUCAUUAGAAUUGGGAACAAAGUGUAAGUUAUAAUUCUGAGCAAGACUGAGACCCUCUUAUCCUGAAAAGAUGUCUUUGGUUUAGCACGACGGUUCCUAGCUGCUGCUGUGGACUAAUUGCAUCAGAAUUACCUGGGGAACAUCCGAAUGAUACGGACACUGCAACUGCCUCCCUGGAGGACCUGUUUCGGCGAAGAAGCUGAGACACAGAGCCAGAAUGUGAACCUUGGCUGUCAGGCUCCAGCACCCACGCCAGAUGCGGGUUCCUGACAGUGCUAUCUACAAGAGCAAAAACUUGGAAACAACCCAGAUAGCCCCCAAAUGGGAUAUUGCUUAAAUCAUUUGUAGCAGAUCCAUACCAGUGAAUGCUCCGUCAUGAAUAUGUCACAACCAUUAGAGGUGACACGUGAAAUGGUAGAACAGAAUUUAAGACAAGAAGGCAA